UUAACAGUGAAUAAAAUGAAGGGAAAUGGAAAAGUGAAUACAUCCUCAUUCUCCAUGACCACAAGCUGGACAACAUAACGGUAUGCUGCUCCACCCCCCUGCCCACCGCUGAUCGAUGCACCGCGGUGCCUGCUGGGUAUUGAAGUCUUUACCGCGCAAACAGGAGCCGCGCUCGCAACGCCCGCAGAGGAGAUGCAGCCCCCGCCGAGAACUACCGGUACCGAGAUGCCCGGGCCCGGGACGGUUUCCGGUUAGUGCGUGAAAUGUUUGGACCCGGUGCUGGAUGGAAGACGGGGAGAGUGAGGUGAGAGGAGAUGACCGGGGUCUGCUGCUCUUAAAUCGGCUGUAUCUCGUUCCAAAGGAGGAGGCGGAGGAGGGUAAGUCACGGGGGGGGUCUUGUGGGAGAGAAACGCGCCUCCGUUUGGAGGGAACACGUCCCCGCGGACAAUCAACUUAAGUUGCGCUCUAACUUGACACAACGCGACGUUUCUCCCGAACGCGUCGGUCCUCUGCUGACCGUCGCUGCAACACGUCGCGUGUCUCUGCUGCUCCCGUUCACAGCUGCAGCUUCUCCACCUCAAACUCCAUUUUUCCACGGAUGCUCUGCAGAGGCGUCCACGCACAACAAAGGAUGCGGGUGAUAUCCGGGAUGUGGAUGAUGGUGCUCGUCGCUGCCCGCACCCUCGGGCUGUGUCUCCUUCCCCCCAUGGCGUGUCAGAUAUUACGAAACAAUAAAUACAUAUAUUACAAACCUUUGUGGACGCAUUUCCCUGUGUGCUACAUCGCAUACUGAUUGCACCAGGAAAAAAAAUCAGUUCCAAACAUAGAGCCGAUCACUUUGAAUAAUCUGUAGCUUUAAAUGUACACGCCUCCAAAUUAAUGACAUGACUUUGCUUCACGGUUGAUCUGCAUGUCGCUUGGCUAUAUGACUAAACUGUCAGCAGCGAAUGAUGAGACCGCGUAUAGCGGUGAUUUCUAUUCUAAUGUGGCAUUUUGUACAAAAAACGUCGCAAUACGCUUUCGGCGGUACUUUUAUUUUGAAACGUGAGACCGGAACUCGCCGUGGUCAACUGAGGCUGACUUUACUCUGGUCUCCCGUUCACCCAUCAGCAGCAUCUCGAGUCCACGGGCGCGAGAUCCAUGCACACACACGCACGCGCGCGCACACACACACACACGGAGAGAGGGUGGUCGAUGUCGACGGCCCCGUGUUCUCCUCCUGCACCGGGAGCAACGACGGUCGCUUUCUAAUUGGAUGCUCUCCGCGCGAUGGAGACCCGAGUCGACCUCCCAGAGGGGUUAAGAUGGGUGGAGCUGCCGUCAUCCUCAUCAUCAGGAGACCUGAAUGAAUACUGCUACACUGCUCCCACCCCCCACCUCAUCCAUGACUUUCUACUGUGAACCGUCGACUGCUGUGCCUCAAACUCUGUAAUGGAAAAUCGUGGUGAGUACCAAGUCGCUCGUUGUGGUUUGUUAAGUGCAGUGUGUUAAUGCUUGUGGUCAGAGCUGUAGAUCCGCUCAUCUCUCUCUGUACAUUUCACUGUGUUAACGGAGUCUGUCUAGCCUCGCACGUUUUUACGAGCCACUCAGGACUGCGACCAUACAUUUCUCAACCUCAGGCCCUGACUGAGGAUCAGUUUCCAGUGUCACCGCUUGGCUUUUCAGGGUUUUUUCCCUCGUCAUCACGGGCCUGAGUUAUGCGGUGUGUUGCAGAAGACACACUCUAGUGAAUAUCUGUUGUAUCCCUGUUUAAGACUCUCUGUGAAUAUUAAGAAUAUGAGUUUUUGUGUGUUAUUCAGCUUCAGACGAACCUUGAUUGUGUUUACUUUUGGAUUUCUGUCAGCCAGUUCCCUUAUAUUAAAAAUGAAUCUGCCAAAACAAAGCAGUUAGAUAUGCCCAAAUGUGCGUACACUAAGCCAUCCCUUGUGACUAUCGCUCAUAAGACUUCCCAUGGCUACUUCACAAUAAAAGCCUUACACGACUCUCAAUCCUGCAGGACUGUGAUAAACAUCGACAGGAUAUUUAGGAUUCGCACUCUAGCGGCAGAGUUAAACAUUUUGGGAAAUAUACUUAUUUGCUUUUCCUUCCAAGAGAUUGGUGAGAAGAUUGACACCAGCACCUCUGGAGGUCUCCCACACAUUACCUUUACAUCGUUUCAUCUUAUUUAUUUCAUCCAUAAAAAAAAAGUAUAAUAACAGUUUGUUGUUUUACAGGAGGUUAUGUGUUGGAAUAUUUCUCUGACUUCCAGGUGUAGGUUUUGUUACCUUGUUACCAGGAUUGCUGUAUUCCUCCUGUUUUUAGUAUAUGCUAAGCUAAGUUUAUGGUUAAACUGUAAAAUAUCAAGCCUCAAUUACAUUUCUUUGUCAUAAUUGUUUGAUAAUGCUUAGGAAUCAUUGCCCAAGGUAAAAAAAAUACUCAGUCAGGGUUUAAUGUCAAUAUACAGUUAAAACUCAUCUUAUACAAAAAUAUGAAUAAUUCUCUAUUUGAAAACAUUUUUUAAAAA
rnacentral:lncRNA from 1 species